rnacentral:rRNA from 1 species
GAUGGGCAUGCGUCUGAUUAGGUAGUUGGUAGGGUAACGGCCUACCAAGCCGACGAUCAGUAGGGGUUCUGAGAGGAUUACCCCCCACACUGGUACUGAGACACGGACCAGACUCCUACGGGAGGCAGCAGUGAGGAAUAUUGGUCAAUGGGCGAGAGCCUGAACCAGCCAUCCCGCGUGCAGGAUGACGGCCCUAUGGGUUGUAAACUGCUUUUCUGUUCGAAGAAAUCUUCCGACGUGUCGGGAGUUGACGGUAGAGCAGGAAUAAGCAUCGGCUAACUCCGUGCCAGCAGCCGCGGUAAUACGGAGGAUGCAAGCGUUAUCCGGAUUCAUUGGGUUUAAAGGGUGCGCAGGUGGGAAUGUAAGUCAGUGGUGAAAUACUGCCGCUUAACGGUAGAACUGCCAUUGAUACUGCGCUUCUUGAGUAUGGUUGAGGUAGGUGGAAUGUGUUGUGUAGCGGUGAAAUGCAUAGAUAUGACACAGAACGCCGAUUGCGAAGGCAGCUUACUAAGCCAUUACUGACGCUGAGGCACGAAAGCGUGGGGAUCGAACAGGAUUAGAU